rnacentral:rRNA from 1 species
CCCAGACUCCUACGGGAGGCAGCAGUGGGGAAUUUUGCGCAAUGGGGGAAACCCUGACGCAGCAACGCCGCGUGCGGGAUGACGGCCCUCGGGUUGUAAACCGCUUUCAGCAGGGAAGAUAUUGACGGUACCUGCAGAAGAAGCUCCGGCUAACUACGUGCCAGCAGCCGCGGUAAUACGUAGGGAGCGAGCGUUAUCCGGAUUCAUUGGGCGUAAAGCGCGCGUAGGCGGCUGCCUAAGCGGAACCUCUAACCCCGGGGCUCAACCUCGGGCCGGGUUCCGAACUGGGCGGCUCGAGUGCGGUAGAGGAGAGCGGAAUUCCCGGUGUAGCGGUGGAAUGCGCAGAUAUCACGCAGAACUCCGAUUGCGAAGGCAGCAUACCGGCGCGCAACUGACGCUCAUGCACGAAAGCGUGGGUAUCGAACAGGAUUAGAUACCCCUGUA